CAAAUUAUUGUUCAAGUGCUGUUUGUCAAAAUCGUUACUCUGAACCCGGUCCGGGUAAAGUUUACUGCAGCAUAUUACGAGUGCUUCCCCAAUACUAUAUUACUUAUAUAUAUAUAUAUUUAAUACGAGGUGCGAGAAAACUUCUUCAGAGGACAAUUUCGUAAUAUCAAUCAAAGAAAGACACGCGUAGUAUAUAAAAUCGGCUCCCGCUUAAAACACAAACACGGUGACACAUGCCAGCGUACGCGAGCUUAUCCAAUUAUAUUGAAACCCUCUAUGGAAGGGAGUGUGACAAACUGUUUGUUUUAUUCGUGUAUCGGUUAUAUUAUUAUCGAAAAAGGCCGUUAGGUACAUAUAAUAAUGCGCCGUUUUGAUGGACAUUGUAUUA